GACGAACGCUGGCGGCGUGCCUAAUACAUGCAAGUAGAACGCUGAAGACUUUAGCUUGCUAAAGUUGGAAGAGUUGCGAACGGGUGAGUAACGCGUAGGUAACCUGCCUACUAGCGGGGGACGACUAUUGGAAACGAUAGCUAAUACCGCAUAACAGCAUUUAACCCAUGUUAGAUGCUUGAAAGGAGCAAUUGCUUCACUAGUAGAUGGACCUGCGUUGUAUUAGCUAGUUGGUGAGGUAACGGCUCACCAAGGCGACGAUACAUAGCCGACCUGGGAGGGUGAUCGGCCACACUGGGACUGAGACACGGCCCAGACCCCUACGGGAGGCAGCAGUAGGGAAUCUUCGGCAAUGGGGGCAACCCUGACCGAGCAACGCCGCGUGAGUGAAGAAGGUUUUCGGAUCGUAAAGCUCUGUUGUAAGAGAAGAACGUGUGUGAGAGUGGAAAGUUCACACAGUGACGGUAACUUACCAGAAAGGGACGGCUAACUACGUGCCAGCCGCCGCCGUAA
rnacentral:rRNA from 1 species